GCAAGGUAGCUCAGACGGUAGAGCAGGGGACUGAAAAUCCCUGUGUCGGCGGUUCAAUUCCGCCCCUUGCC
rnacentral:tRNA from 1 species